GACGAACGCUGGCGGCGUGCUUAACACAUGCAAGUCGAACGGAAAGGCCCUGCUUUUGUGGGGUGCUCGAGUGGCGAACGGGUGAGUAACACGUGAGUAACCUGCCCUUGACUUUGGGAUAACUUCAGGAAACUGGGACUAAUACCGGAUAGGAGCUCCUGCUGCAUGUUGGGGGUUGGAAAGUUUCGGCGGUUGGGGAUGGACUCGCGGCUUAUCAGCUUGUUGGUGGGGUAGUGGCUUACCAAGGCUUUGACGGGUAGCCGGCCUGAGAGGGUGACCGGCAACAUUGGGACUGAGAGACGGCCCAGACUCCUACGGGAGGCAGCAGGGGGGAAUAUUGCACAAUGGGCGGAAGCCUGAUGCAGAAACGCCGCGUGCGGGAUGACGGCCUUCGGGUUGUAAACCGAUUUCGCCUGUGACGAAGAGUGAGUGACGGUAAUGGGUAAAGAAGCACCGGCUAACUACGUG
rnacentral:rRNA from 1 species